AACGAACGCUGGCGGCAUGCCUAACACAUGCCAGUCGAACGAGACCUUCGGGUCUAGUGGCGCACGGGUGCGUAACGCGUGGGAACCUGCCCUUAGGUUCGGAAUAACUCCCCGAAAGGGGUGCUAAUACCGGAUAAUGUCUUCGGACCAAAGAUUUAUCGCCUUUGGAUGGGCCCGCGUUGGAUUAGCUAGUUGGUAGGGUAAAAGCCUACCAAGGCGACGAUCCAUGGCUGGUCUGAGAGGAUGAUCAGCCACACUGGGACUGAGACACGGCCCAGACUCCUACGGGAGGCAGCAGUGGGGAAUAUUGGACAAUGGGCGAAAGCCUGAUCCAGCAAUGCCGCGUGAGUGAUGAAGGCCUUAGGGUUGUAAAGCUCUUUUACCCGGGAUGAUAAUGACAGUACCGGGAGAAUAAGCUCCGGCUAACUCCGUG
rnacentral:rRNA from 1 species